rnacentral:rRNA from 1 species
CUUUUUGAGAGUUUGAUCCUAGCUCAGGAUGAACGCUGGCGGCGUGUCUAAGGCAUGCAAGUCAAACGGGCUCGCAAGAGUACCGUGGCAAACGGGUGCGUAACACAUUGGUAACCUACCUCCGAGACGGCCAUAACUCACCGAAAGGUGUGCUAAUAGCCGAUACAUUCCCGACCCACAUGGGUUGGGACGAAAGUCGCAAGACACUCGGAGAGGGGCCUAUGGUCUAUCAGCUAGUUGGUGUGGUAAUGGCGCACCAAGGCUUUGACGGAUAGCGGGUGUGAGAGCACGACCCGCCUCAGGGGAACUGAGACACUGUCCCCACUUCUACGGAAGGCUGCAGUCAAGAAUAUUCCUCAAUGGCCGAAAGGCUGAAGGAGCGACGCCGCGUGCAGGAAGAAGCCCCUCGGGGUGUAAACUGCUUUUAUUUGGGACGAAUUCUGACGGUACCAAAUGAAUAAGAGGUUCCUAACUCUGUGCCAGCAGGAGCGGUAAUACAGAGACCUCAAGCGUUAUCCGGAUUUACUGGGCGUAAAGGGUCCGCAGGUGGUUUUGAAAGUCUUUCGUAAAAUGACGACGCUCAACGUCGUCACUGCGGGAGAUACUUCAAGACUAGAGGCCGGGAGGGGCAAACGGAAUUGCCGGUGUAGUAGUAAAAUGCGUUUAUAUCGGCAAGAACACCAGAGGCGAAGGCGGUUUGCUAGAACGGUCCUGACACUCAGGGACGAAAGCGUGGGGAGUAAAACGGAUUAGAUACCCGUGUAAUCCACGCCCUAAACGAUGGGUACUAGACAUUGGAAGUAUCGACCCUUUCAGUGUCGUUCACCUAAGUUAACACCUUAAGUACCCCGCCUGGGAAGUACGGUCGCAAGACUAAAACUCAAAGGAAUUGACGGGAGUCUGCACAAGCGGUGGAGCAUGUGGUUCAAUUCGACAAUAAGCGAGGAACCUUACCAAGGCUUGACAUGGUAGUUUGUAGUUCUGCAGAAAUGUGGAAUGACCGUUAAAUCGGAAGCU